GUAGGAGUAGAGUAAUUUAGUUUUGCUCUUAGUUUUUUUUUUUCUUUAGUUUUUGGAGAGAACUUGGACGAGAAGAGGGAGCACAACAAUGCAGUUGCAACUGUUGCUGCCCAGCUUUCCUCCUCUGCCUCCAUGUUUUCGACUGCUGCACUGAUACCUGGUAAUUUAGGAAGGCCAAAUCCAGAGCAUGCUUAGAGGGCUGAGUGUAGACAACUAGCUCAAAUGGUGAUUUUCCAGCGGAUUGGUUACACAUGCUAUUGAAAGCAAAUUCUAUGGAAGAAUCAUGUCCCAUUGCUUCGGUUUGUCACCAUAAAUACAACGGAGCAUAUUGUCCAAAGUUUUGUUGGUCACUUCAGUUUGGGCAUCAGUUUGAGGAUGACAAGUGCUACUAUACUUGAGUGAAAUUCCAAAUUUCUUCCAUAGAGUCACCCAAAAAUGGCUGAGAAACUUAGUAUCAUGGUCUAAAGUAAUUGUUUUAGGGACUUCAUGCAAGCGAACUACCUCUUUAAAGAAGAGAUGAGCAAUGUUUGAGACGUCUAAUGCCUUCCAGCAAUAAAUGAAAUGUGCCAAUUUUGAAAAUCGAUCAACGACCACAAAAACAGAGUCAGCUCCACGCUGGGUUCGGGGUAGGCCAAGUACAAAAUCCAUGCUCAAGUCUUUCCAAAUAUUUGUCGACACUGGUAAUGGCAUGUAAAGACCUAUGUUUUGUGAUUGACCCGUCCCUACUUGGCAUAUAGGACAUCCUUGCAUGAACUUGCCAACAUAUUUCAUUAACUGAGGCCAAAAGUAACAUUUGGUAACCAAAAAAAUGGUUUUAUCUCUCCCUACAUGUCCUCUUAGACCUCCUCCAUGUAACUUUCAGAUCAGAUGUUCCCAUAAUGAAGUUCUGGGAAUGUAAAAUUGGUUCCCAUGAAAAAGAUAACCAGCUUGAAUAUGGAAGUCCUCUGCAGCUUGGCCAUUCGAGCAUUGGUUCCAGGUAUUGGCGAAGUCCAGGUCAUCGGCAUACAAGUCUUGCAGCUGCUCAAAACUCAUAAGUUCGGCCUUCAAAGUCACCAGCAGGGUUGCUCGACAGCUGUAGGCGUCAGCGACCCUAUUCUGUUGCCCACAUUUAUGUUUCAAGACCAUGGUGAACUUUUGCAUGAACUCGAUCCACCUUGUAUGAAUUCGGUUCAGAUUUCUUUCAGUAUUGAUAAACUUCAGGGCAUAAUGAUCACUGUAUAGGACAAAAUUCCCUUUGUAUCAGAUAAUGCUCCUAGUGAUUAAGCGAUUUAAUGACAACGUAAAAUUCUAGUUCA